GGCUGUGUGGUCUAGUGGUAUGAUUCUCGCUUAGGGUGCGAGACGUCCCGAGUUCAAUUCUCGGCACAGCCC
rnacentral:tRNA from 1 species